AGACCAAGAGGACCAAGAGAAACAAAGUGGAGCAGAUCACUGAUACAGAUGCAGUUCAGGGGACAUCUCACCAGGGACAAUCUAAUGAAAAGAUCCUAAGUGAGUGUGUCUCCAGGGCCUGUCAGACCAGGGCUCUUGACCUCCCACCAAUCGAUCCGGAUGCUUUCAACCCGAUUAUCAUCCGGUUUCUGGAAAAACUUACUGAGGAGCAAUGGAGGCAGUUAAGCAUUGGCAGGAUGGACCCUGU